rnacentral:rRNA from 1 species
AGAGUUUGAUCAUGGCUCAGCCUGAACGCUGGCGGCGUGGCUAAGACAUGCAAGUCGCACGGGGUAGCAAUACCCAGUGGCGAACGGGAGAGUAAUGAAUCGCUAACGUACCCCGGACUCUGGGAUAGCUGCCCGAAAGGGCAGGUAAUACCAGAUAACAUAUUUCCUAGGCAUCUAGGGAAUCUCAAAGGUCCGCCGGUCUGGGAGCGGGCGAUUUCGUAUCAGCUAGUUGGUGAGGUAACGGCUCACCAAGGCGACGACGCGUAGCCGGACUGAGAGGUUGGCCGGCCUCAUUGGGACUGAGACACUGCCCAGACUCCUACGGGGGGCUGCAGUAACGAAUCUUCCGCAAUGCACGAAAGUGUGACGGAGCGACGCCGCGUGUGGGACGAAGUCCUUCGGGAUGUAAACCACUGUCAGGGGUUACCAAGUUCUGAGGAGCCCCAGAGGAAGGCACGGCUAACUCUGUGCCAGCAGCCGCGGUAAGACAGAGGUGCCAAGCGUUAGGCGGAAUCACUGGGCUUAAAGCGUGUGUAGGCGGAAUUCUAAGUACCUUGUGAAAUCCCACAGCUCAACUGUGGAACUGCUCGGUAUACUGGUUUUCUUGAGCCACUUAGGGGGCUGUCGGAACAAAUGGUGGAGCGGUGAAAUGCGUAGAUAUCAUUUGGAACGCCAACGGUGAAAACAGACAGCUGGGAGUGUGCUGACGCUGAGACACGAAAGCCAGGGGAGCGAACGGGAUUAGAUACCCUAGUAGUCC